AGAGUGGCUAUGGAAAUGAGGCUUGGAGCACAGGCACAGGUGGUGACACUACAGCUCUGGGACCAGAACAAUAAUUGCACUGGAUCCCAGGGCACAGACACCCCUACUACCACCUUGCAGAAAUGAUGGUUGGCUACUGCAGAGGCAAGAGUUUCUGGUGUCCUCUGCCGAGGAGUUCACUGGUGACUAUGGUGGUCCCCACUACAUGGCUGAUACCAAUGCCUCCACCUUUCUUUUUUGCUCCUAGGCAUCUCCUGCCAUCUCAGCAAGCUGCCAUGCUGUUGGUAGCAUUUUAAAAAGACAAGCAUGGCGAAGAAAGGAUAUCUCUGCCAAGCAGCCAGGAACAUCCUGAGGCCUGUCAGCAGCCCUUUCCGUGAAACUGGAAAUGGAUCUUCCCCUUGUGAUGACUACAGUCCCAACUGAGAGCUUGACUGCAACCUCAUGAGCAGCCCUGAGCCAGAGACACUGAGCUAAUUUCUGCCUGAAUUCCUGAUUCAUGGAAAUUAUGGGCUAAUAAAUAUAUCUCAUUUUAAGCUACUAA
ensembl:lncRNA novel transcript